AUUGAACGCUGGCGGCAUGCCUUACACAUGCAAGUCGAACGGUAACAGGUCUUCGGAUGCUGACGAGUGGCGAACGGGUGAGUGAUACAUCGGAACGUGCCUAGUAGUGGGGGAUAACUACUCGAAAGAGUGGCUAAUACCGCAUGAGAUCUACGGAUGAAAGCAGGGGAUCGCAAGACCUUGUGCUACUAGAGCGGCCGAUGGCAGAUUAGGGAGUUGGUGGGAUAAAAGCUUACCAAGCCGACGAUCUGUAGCUGGUCUGAGAGGACGAUCAGGCACACGGGGACUGAGACACGGCCCAGAAUCCUACGGGAGGCAGCAGUGGGGAAUUUUGGACAAUGGGCGCAAGCCUGAUCCAGCAAUGCCGCGUGCAGGAUGAAGGCCUUCGGGUUGUAAACUGCUUUUGUACGGAACGGAAAGCCCUGGGUUAAUACCCUGGGGUCAUGACGGUACCGUAAGAAUAAGCACCGGCUAACUACGUGCCAGCCGCCGCCGUAA
rnacentral:rRNA from 1 species